CAGGGGUUUGGAAGUAAAAGUCGUAACAAGGUCUCCGUUGGUGAACCAGCGGAGGGAUCAUU
rnacentral:rRNA from 1 species